CAGUUACUCCCUCCGUUCGGAAUUACUUGUCGCAGAAAUGGAUGUAUCUAGACGUAUUUUAGUUCUAGAUGCAUCUAUUUUCGAGACAAGUAAUUCCGAAUGGAGGGAGUACAUG
rfam:Triticum aestivum genome assembly, contig: Triticum_aestivum_CS42_TGACv1_scaffold_251148_3DL